UGAUGAACAUACACCAGUAGAGGAUGAGGAACCAAAGAAAAGCACCACUUCAGCUUCUACUUCAGAAGAAGAAAGGAAGAAGAAGAAGAAGGAUAGUCACUCAAAAGAAAGGUCCAAGAAAAGAAGGAAGAAAAAAUCAUCUAAAAGAAAACACAAGAAUUAUUCUGACGAUAGUGACAGUGACUCUGAUUCUGAAACAGACUCCUCUGGUAAGAU